ACCUCAACCACAUGCCUGCAGCAGGAUAGGAAGAAUCUAGGCUUAUACAUACACUUUUCUCCCUCCAGCUGCCAUGUUAAGGAAAUUGCCUAGACAUCACUGAUUCUUUGCUAUGAAGUUCAACCAACAGCCACUGUGUUACUGGGGAAAUGGAUGCUCUAUGGACAUUACAGGAAGACAGGACUUUGACCUGAUACCUGUGAUAAUUGCUGCGUAAAUACUGCAAGCUCAGGAUAUUAGCACUAGUUCUGAGAAACUCCACAGUGGGUCACAUUUAUUCCUGCACUGAAGAGCUGGUGGCACACCUUCCUACAAUCUCAUCUCCCAAGGUUCUCCUCAGCCCUAGGAUUCUCCUCCCUUUGUCUCGUACCCGUACCGGCCCUUUUCCUGUACCAUGCAUGACAGGAGCCAAAAUCCCAGUGAGGAGGCUAAUGAAGAGCCAAAUGAAAGUAUGCUUCUCUGAAAUACGUUUCCU